rnacentral:RNase_P_RNA from 1 species
GAAGUCGGCCGGACAGCCGCUGUGACUUCGGUCACGGAGGAAAGUCCGGGCUCCACAGGGCAGGGUGCCAGGUAACGCCUGGGGGGCGCGAGCCUACGGAAAGUGCCGCAGAAAAUAUACCGCCGAUGGCCUUCGGGCUCAGGUAAGGGUGAAAUGGUGCGGUAAGAGCGCACCGCGCCGCUGGCAACAGCGGUGGCAGGGUAAACCCCACCCGGAGCAAGACCAAAUAGGGGAACAUGGGCGUGGCCCGCGCCGUUCCCGGGUAGGUCGCUCGAGGUGCACGGUGACGUGCAUCCCAGAUGAAUGGUUGUCCACGACAGAACCCGGCUUACAGGCCGGCUUCCACC